UAUAGUAAGGGAGCUACCAAUUGAUUUUUAUGGGGGGGCUAGGAUGAAAUUUGAAAAAAAUAGGCAGGACAGGAGUUUUGAGUAAAAAAAAAAAGGCAGGAUGAGACACAUUUUUUAUGUAAAAAAAGUCAGGAUAAACUAAAAAAAAAAAGCAGGACCGAAUAGAGUGAAAAAUAAAAAGGCAGGACAGAGAUUACAACUAAAAAAAAAUGCAGGACAAAAUUUUUCAUCCUAGCCCCCCCCCCC
rnacentral:lncRNA from 1 species